GAUGAAGAACGUAGCAAAAUGCGAUAAGUAAUGUGAAUUGCAGGAUUCAGUGAAUCAUCGAAUCUUUGAACGCACAUUGCGCCCGCCAGUAUUCUGGCGGGCAUGCCUGUUCGAGCGUCAUUUCAACCCUCAAGCACAGCUUGGUGUUGGGACUCGCGUUAAUUCGCGUUCCCCAAAUUGAUUGGCGGUCACGUCGAGCUUCCAUAGCGUAGUAGUAAAACCCUCGUUACUGGUAAUCGUCGCGGCCACGCCGUUAAACCCCAACUUCUGAAUGUUGACCUCGGAUCAGGUAGGAAUACCCGCUGAACUUAAGCAUAUCAAUAAGCGGAGGA
rnacentral:misc_RNA from 1 species